GACGAACGCUGGCGGCGGGCCUAAUACAUGCAAGUAGGACGCAGUUGCGAACGGGUGAGUAACGCGUGGGUGACUGCCUGUUAGAGUGGGAUAACUAUUAGAAACGAUAGCUAAUACCGCAUACUAGUAGAUGGACCUGCGUUGUGUUAGCUAGUAGGUAGGGUAAUGGCCUACCUAGGCAACGAUACAUAGCCGACAUUGAGAGGUGAUCGGCCACACCUGGACGUAGACACGGCCCCGACUCCUACCGGAGGCAGCAGUAGGGAAUUUUCGGAAAUGGGGCGAACUCUGACCGAGCAACGGCGCGUGAUUGAAGAAGGGUUUUGGAUCGUAAAGCUCUGUUGUGAAGGAAGCGGUACUUAACCAGAAAGGGACGGCUAACUACGUGCCAGCAGCCGCGGUAAUAC
rnacentral:rRNA from 1 species